rnacentral:sRNA from 13 species
UAUGGAUGCAAAGGCAGAUUGAUUUCCAAUUCUAUUGAUAUUAGAGAAAAUGC